rnacentral:rRNA from 1 species
CGCUGGCGGCGCGCUUAACACAUGCAAGNCGAACGUGAARCCCGGGCUUGCCCGGGNGGAAAGUGGCGAACGGGUGCGUAACACGUGAGCGACCUGCCCCGAAGACCGGGAUAACACCGGGAAACCGGUGCUAAUACCGGAUACCCUCAUCACGUCGCAUGGCGAGAUGAGGAAAUGGAUUCCGCUUCGGGAUGGGCUCGCGGUCUAUCAGCUUGUUGGUGGGGUAACGGCUCACCAAGGCUACGACGGAUAGCUGGUCUGAGAGGAUGUCCAGCCACACUGGGACUGAGACACGGCCCAGACUCCUACGGGAGGCAGCAGUGGGGAAUCUUGCACAAUGGGCGAAAGCCUGAUGCAGCGACGCCGCGUGCGGGAUGACGGCCUUCGGGUUGUAAACCGCUUUCAGCAGGGACGAUAAUGACGGUACCUGCAGAAGAAGCCCCGGCCAACUACGUGCCAGCAGCCGCGGUAAUACGUAGGGGGCAAGCGUUGUCCGGAUUUAUUGGGCGUAAAGAGCUCGUAGGCGGUUUGGUAAGUCUGGUGUGAAAUCUCCACGCUCAACGUGGAGGGGCCACCCGAUACUGCCAUGACUGGAGUCCGGUAGAGGAGUGUGGAAUUCCCGGUGUA